GGGGGGUGACGCAGGAAGGUAACCCAACCCAGGCGAUGGUUGACCUGGGGUAAGGAUGUAGGGCGAGAUGUAGGCAAAUCCGCAUCUCACGUGCCUGAGAUCUGACGCCGAGCCGAUUCAGGUGAAGUGGGUAAUCCUAUGCUGCCAAGAAAAGCCUCUAGCGAGUGUUAAAGCCGCCCGUACCCCAAACCGACACAGGUGGUCAGGUAGAGAAUACUAAGGCGAUCGAGAUAACUAUGGUUAAGGAACUCGGCAAAAUGCCCCCGUAACUUCGGGAGAAGGGGGGCCCGUUCUGGUGAGGAGAUUUACUCUCCGAGCUGGGAUUGGCCGCAGAGACCAGGCCCAAGCGACUGUUUACUAAAAACACAGGUCCAUGCUAAGUCGCAAGACGCUGUAUAUGGACUGACGCCUGCCCGGUGCUGGAACGUUAAGGGGACGGGUUAGCGACUUCGGUCGCGAAGCUCAGAACUUAAGCGCCAGUAAACGGCGGUGGUAACUAUAACCAUCCUAAGGUAGCGAAAUUCCUUGUCGGGUAAGUUCCGACCUGCACGAAUGGCGUAACGACUUGGGCGCUGUCUCAACCGUAGACUCGGCGAAAUUGCACUACGAGUAAAGAUGCUCGUUACGCGCGGCAGGACGAAAAGACCCCGGGACCUUUACUACAGCUUGGUAUUGGUGGUCGAUUCGAUUUGUGUAGGAUAGGUGGGAGACUGUGAACUUCGGACGCCAGUUCGAAGGGAGUCAUCGUUGAAAUACCACUCUGAUCGUAUUGGCUGUCUAACCUAGAUCCGUAAUCCGGAUCAGGGACAGUGCCUGGUGGGUAGUUCAACUGGGGCGGUUGCCUCCUAAAAUGUAACGGAGGCGCUCAAAGGUUCCCUCAGCCUGGUUGGCAAUCAGGUAUCGAGUGUAAGUGCACAAGGGAGCUUGACUGUGAGACUGACGGGUCGAGCAGGGACGAAAGUCGGAACUAGUGAUCCGGCGCUGGCAAGUGGAAGCGGCGUCGCUCAACGGAUAAAAGGUACCCCGGGGAUAACAGGCUGAUCUUGCCCAAGAGUCCAUAUCGACGGCAUGGUUUGGCACCUCGAUGUCGGCUCGUCGCAUCCUGGGGCUGGAGUAGGUCCCAAGGGUUGGGCUGUUCGCCCAUUAAAGCGGCACGCGAGCUGGGUUUAGAACGUCGUGAGACAGUUCGGUCCCUAUCCGCCGCGCGCGUAAGAGUCUUGAGAAGAUCUGUCCCUAGUACGAGAGGACCGGGAUGGACGAACCUCUGGUGUGUCAGUUGUCCUGCCAAGGGCACUGCUGAUUAGCUACGUUCGGAAGAGAUAACCGCUGAAAGCAUCUAAGCGGGAAACUCGCUUCAAGAUGAGGGCUCUCACAGGGUUAACCUGGUAAGGCCCCCAGUAGACCACUGGGUUGAUAGGCCGGAAGUGGAAGUGCGGUAACGCAUGCAGCUGACCGGUACUAAUAGGCCGAGGACUUGACCUU
rnacentral:rRNA from 1 species